rnacentral:rRNA from 1 species
UACAGAGUUCUCAAGCGUUGUUCGGAUUCAUUGGGCGUAAAGGGUGCGUAGGCGGCGCGGUAAGUCGGGUGUGAAAUCUCGGAGCUUAACUCCGAAACUGCAUUCGAUACUGCCGUGCUUGAGGACUGGAGAGGAGACUGGAAUUUACGGUGUAGCGGUGAAAUGCGUAGAUAUCGUAAGGAAGACCAGUGGCGAAGGCGGGUCUCUGGACAGUUCCUGACGCUGAGGCACGAAGGUCAGGGGAGCAAACGGG